rnacentral:misc_RNA from 1 species
AACAAGGCGUACCUGCGGACCUGCGGAAGGAUCAUUACCGAGUUUACAACUCCCAAACCCCUGUGAACAUACCACUUGUUGCCUCGGCGGAUCAGCCCGCUCCCGGUAAAACGGGACGGCCCGCCAGAGGACCCCUAAACUCUGUUUCUAUAUGUAACUUCUGAGUAAAACCAUAAAUAAAUCAAAACUUUUAACAAUGGAUCU